rnacentral:rRNA from 1 species
UACAGAGGUCCCAAGCGUUGUUCGGAUUCACUGGGCGUAAAGGGUGCGUAGGCGGUCGGGUAAGUCUGAUGUGAAAUCUCACAGCUUAACUGUGAAACUGCAUUGGAUACUAUCCGGCUCGAGGAAUGGAGGGGAGACUGGAAUACUUGGUGUAGCAGUGAAAUGCGUAGAUAUCAAGUGGAACACAAGUGGCGAAGGCGAGUCUCUGGACAUUUCCUGACGCUGAGGCACGAAAGCCAGGGGAGCAAACGGG